AAGGCCACGCCCCGCCCCUCUGCCGGCUCUUCCCUGGCCAAGCCUCACCCUCGCGCAACAAGGCUCCAUACAGGUCAUCGCCGCGACUCGUCCGUUCCCACAAGCCCACACACCGAGCCCAAGAGCCCAGGCAUUUAGCCCGAGGUGGCGGCGGCACCGCCCACAAUCUCCGCCAGCUCCUGGGUAAUCUUAGCCUGGCGCUGCUUGUUGUACUGCACGGUCAGGCCCUUCUUCAGCUCCUUGGCGUUGUCCGAGGCGUUGUUCAUGGCGUUCAUGCGGGCAGCCAGCUCGGAGGCCAGCGCCUCCUGCAGCGAGCGCAGCAGGCAGCUGCUCAUGUACAGGGGCAGCAGGGCGUCCAGGAUCUGGGCGGGCUCCUGCUCGAAGAUGAGCGAGGGGUCCAGGGCCUCGGUCUCGAUGGUGGUCUUCUCGCGCUCCACGGCGAACUCGCCGCCCUUGGUGGUCAGCUUGAAGAUCUCGUCGUCAGCGGCGUCCACGCACUUGCCGUCCACGUCGCACAGCUCGCCCAUGGGGGUCAUGGGCAGCAGGGUCUGGAUGGUGGGGUUCGAGUUGAUCAGCGAGAUGAACUUGGUGAACACCAGCUCCACCUUGUCCGACUCCUGAGCAAUGAACGAGGCGAAGAUCUCGUCAGCAAUGCCCUGGGCCUCCUUGGUCGAGGGAGCAGCGCCCAGCGAGAAGGACUCUGCGGGCGGAACAACGAGCGGCGACGGGGAAUGCGUUCAGGGAGCCGAUGGAGGUUGGAAAGCGAGGGGUUGUGCAUGUGCCGCGUAUGGAGCUGAGGGCUGGCCACGUCCCUCAGAACCCGAAGCUGAGCGCUGGGAGUUGAUGUGCCCCGGCACCAGAAAGAUGCCGGUCUCGCCCGACUGAGACCGGCUCCAACUGACAGCUUUCAACCUAGCAGAGAACGCCAUGCUUAUGCUGAAAAUUCUGGUUGUUCUGCUGGCUUUUGUUGCGGCGACUGCGCUGCGAUAGCACCAUACCCUGCCAACCGCAACCACGCUGACUGGUCAGCAAGGCCACGGUCCGCGCCGGCGACAGCAGCCCAUGUCCGCUUUCACAUCCUGCAGCGGCCUGAUCCAGCUGCAACGCCAGCUCGCCACUCCGUACGUGCAAGCACAGGACUACUGCCGCUCCAAAGUGGCUGGGCGGCCAGUGCUGCGUGUCCAGCGCCAGAGCUCCGCACGCUGCUGCGUGUGUUCGGCCGCCGAGCCCUCCGAUUCCAUGCGAUUCCCUUUCAAUGCGUCUGUGCUUGUUGCGCCACAGAUUCACAUCAUCAGGCCACCGCACGUUCGCCGACACCCACACCACAUCCGCCAGGACCUCCCCGCAACACCCCCUUCCUCCCUGCCAAGCCCCACCACUCCCAACCCUGCGACGCUCCGCGACUCACUGACGAUGUUGUACUGCUUCCGGCGGGCGAAGUACUGAGCACCCUUGCGGCCCACGCACACCAGGUUGACCUUCACGCCCAUAGCGGUAAGCUCGCGGUAGCGGGCCUCGGUCUGCGUUGCACAGGGAGUUCCGUCAAUGACCCUGGAAACACUUGUGGUCAUGGACUUAUCUACAGCUACCCUUCCGUGCUCUGGUAUAACGCCAGCAGGGCCUGACCGCGGGUCGGGCGCAUCACCACCAUCCAAACCAAAGCGACGAGCGUGUGCCCCUCGCUGAUCAGCUAUUCGGCUCGUAGUUGCUGAUUUACACGAACGCUCUCAACCACGUCUCCAGUGCGUGUAUUCGUGACCCAGAAACGUGGUGGAUGCGCUGCGCACCUUCUUGAUGAUGAAGUUGUUGUAGCCGCCGCACAGACCGCGGUCGCCGGUCAGCACAACCAGCAGCACCGACUUGACGGGGCGGACAGCGCACAGGGGCGAGUCCACAUCCUCCUGGCGGACGCGCUGGUUCACGCCGUAGAGGACCUGCGCGACCGAAACAGCCCCGUUAAAUCCCAGCCCGAAGUGCUUUGGGAACCUGUAUAGAUCGUCUUGCUUUGGCGCAGCCGCGAUGGCCCAGCGCCUGCUCAUCGACCGUGCAAGCGGUCCGAAUUGCGCGACCCCAGCCCCCCCGCGCACCUUGACCAGGUUCUCCGAGAAGGGGCGGCCGUUCACCACAGCCUCCUGAGCACGGCGGACCUUAGCGGCAGCCACCAGCUUCAUGGCAUCGGUGAUCUUCUGGGUGUUCUUCACCGAUGCGAUGCGAUCGCGGACCUCCUUCAGGCCGGCCACCACCUAUAGCGGAAACGGGCAUAUUGCUGGUAAGUCCAUCUGCCGGAUUUCAGCGGUGUGGGCCCCCUAACACGGCGAGCGCAGUCACCUGCAGGGAGCCGCGGCUGGCGACGCCCUUGGGGGCGGGGGCAAAGGAGCUGCGGCCCAUGAAGGCGCCCUGCUUAGAGGCGAGCAUAGCGGCCAUUUUUGUCCCUAGAAAGAGCGGCGAACAAG
rnacentral:lncRNA from 1 species